rnacentral:rRNA from 1 species
UUCAGAGCGGAGCUUGCCUAGGAUGGAAUUUGGUGCUUGCACCAAAUGAAACUAGAUACAAGCGAGCGGCGGACGGGUGAGUAACACGUGGGUAACCUGCCCAAGAGACUGGGAUAACACCUGGAAACAGAUGCUAAUACCGGAUAACAACACUAGACGCAUGUCUAGAGUUUAAAAGAUGGUUCUGCUAUCACUCUUGGAUGGACCUGCGGUGCAUUAGCUAGUUGGUAAGGUAACGGCUUACCAAGGCAAUGAUGCAUAGCCGAGUUGAGAGACUGAUCGGCCACAUUGGGACUGAGACACGGCCCAAACUCCUACGGGAGGCAGCAGUAGGGAAUCUUCCACAAUGGACGCAAGUCUGAUGGAGCAACGCCGCGUGAGUGAAGAAGGGUUUCGGCUCGUAAAGCUCUGUUGGUAGUGAAGAAAGAUAGAGGUAGUAACUGGCCUUUAUUUGACGGUAAUUACUUAGAAAGUCACGGCUAACUACGUGCCAGCAGCCGCGGUAAUACGUAGGUGGCAAGCGUUGUCCGGAUUUAUUGGGCGUAAAGCGAGUGCAGGCGGUUCAAUAAGUCUGAUGUGAAAGCCUUCGGCUCAACCGGAGAAUUGCAUCAGAAACUGUUGAACUUGAGUGCAGAAGAGGAGAGUGGAACUCCAUGUGUAGCGGUGGAAUGCGUAGAUAUAUGGAAGAACACCAGUGGCGAAGGCGGCUCUCUGGUCUGCAACUGACGCUGAGGCUCGAAAGCAUGGGUAGCGAACAGGAUUAGAUACCCUUGGUAGUCCAUGCCGUAAACGAUGAGUGCUAAGUGUUUGGGAGGUUUCCGCCUCUCAGUGCUGCAGCUUAACGCAUUUAGCACUCCGCCUGGGGGAGUACGACCGCAAGGUUGNAACUCAAAGGAAUUUG